AUUGAACGCUGGCGGCAUGCCUAACACAUGCAAGUCGAGCGGAUGAAGGCCGCUUGCUCCUGGAUUCAGCGGCAGACGUGUGAGUAAUGCCUAGGAAUCUGCCUGGUAGUGGGGUAUAACGUCCGGAAACUGGCUCUAAUACCACAUACUUCCUGAGUGAGAAAGUGGGGGAUCUUCGGACCUCACGCUAUCAGCUGAGCCUAGGUCGGAUUAGCUAGUUGGUGGGGUAAAGGCCUACCAAGGCGACGAUCCGUAACUGGUCUGAGAGGAUGAUCAGUCACACUGGAACUGAGACACGGUCCAGACUCCUACGGGAGGCAGCAGUGGGGAAUAUUGGACAAUGGGCGAAAGCCUGAUCCAGCCAUGCCGCGUGUGUGAAGAAGGUCUUCGGAUUGUAAAGCACUUUAAGUUGGGAGGAAGGGCAGUAAGUUAAUACCUGGCUGUUUUGACGUUACCAACAGAAUAAGCACCGGCUAACUUCGUG
rnacentral:rRNA from 1 species